rnacentral:rRNA from 1 species
AACGAAAGCUGGCGGCAUGCCUAACACAUGCAAGUCGAACGAGACCUUCGGGUCUAGUGGCGCACGGGGGCGUAACGCGUGGGAACCUGCCCUUAGGUUCGGAAUAACUCCCCGAAAGGGGUGCUAAUACGGGAUAAUGUCUUCCGACCAAAGAUUUAUCGCCUUUGGAUGGGCCCGCGUUGGAUUAGCUAGUUGGUAGGGUAAAAGCCUACCAAGGCGACGAUCCAUAGCUGGUCUGAGAGGAUGAGCAGCCACACUGGGACUGAGACACGGCCCAGACUCCUACGGGAGGCAGCAGUGGGGAAUAUUGGACAAUGGGCGAAAGCCUGAUCCAGCAAUGCCGCGUGAGUGAUGAAGGCCUUAGGGUUGUAAAGCUCUUUUACCCGGGAUGAUAAUGACAGUACCGGGAGAAUAAGCUCCGGCUAACUCCGUG